AUUGAACGCUGGCGGCAGGCCUAACACAUGCAAGUCGAGCGGUAGAGAGGUGCUUGCAUCUCUUGAGAGCGGCGGACGGGUGAGUAAUGCCUAGGAAUCUGCCUAGUGGUGGGGGAUAACGUUCGGAAACGGACGCUAAUACCGCAUACGUCCUACGGGAGAAAGCGGGGGAUCUUCGGACCUCGCGCCAUUAGAUGAGCCUAGGUCGGAUUAGCUAGUUGGUGUGGUAAUGGCUCACCAAGGCGACGAUCCGUAACUGGUCUGAGAGGAUGAUCAGUCACACUGGAACUGAGACACGGUCCAGACUCCUACGGGAGGCAGCAGUGGGGGAAUAUUGGACAAUGGGCGAAGGCCUGAUCCAGCCAUGCCGCGUGUGUGAAGAAGGUCUUCGGAUUGUAAAG
rnacentral:rRNA from 1 species